rnacentral:rRNA from 1 species
GGGGAACGCUGGCGGCGUGCUUAAGACAUGCAAGUCGAACGCAGUCUUCGGACUGAGUGGCGCACGGGCGAGUAACACGUAACUGACCUACCCCCAAGUCGUGAAUAACCAGCCGAAAGGAUGGCUAAUACGCGAUGUGAUGAUCCGCUGUGGCGGAUCAUUAAAGACUUGAUAGAUUGGGGAUGGGGUUGCGUUCCAUCAGCCAGUUGGUAAGGUAGAGGCUUACCAAGUCAACGACGGAUGGCCGGCCCGAGAGGGUGGCCGGCCACAGGGGCACUGAGACCCGGGUCCCACUCCUACGGGAGGCAGCAGUUAGGAAGCUUCCACAAUGGGCGCAAGCCUGAUGGAGCGGCGCCGCGUGAGGGAUGAAGGUUCUCGGAUCGUAAACCUCUGAACCAACGACGAAAAACCCGACAAGGGAGAUGACGGUAGUUGGGUAAUAGCACCGGCUAACUCCGUGCCAGCCGCCGCCGUAACAC